UGUUGAUGAUGAUGAUGAUGAUGAUGAUGAUGAUGAUGAUGUUGAUCAUGACGAUGAUUAUGAUUAUUGUCGUUGUCGUCGUCGAUACAAUCUUCUUCAAAGUCGUCGUCGUCAUCAUCAUCAUCAUCAUCAUCA
rnacentral:pre_miRNA from 1 species